rnacentral:rRNA from 1 species
AACCUCCGCAAUGUGAGAAAUCGCGACGGGGGGAUCCCAAGUGCCAUUCUUAACGGGAUGGCUUUUCAUUAGUGUAAAGAGCUUUUGGAAUAAGAGCUGGGCAAGACCGGUGCCAGCCGCCGCGGUAACACCGGCAGCUCUAGUGGUAACAAUUUUUAUUGGGCCUAAAGCGUCCGUAGCCGGUUUAAUAAGUCUCUGGUGAAAUCCUGUAGCUUAACUGUGGGAAUUGCUGGAGAUACUAUUAGACUUGAGACCGGGAGAGGUUAGAGGUACUCCCAGGGUAGAGGUGAAAUUCUGUAAUCCUGGGAGGACCGCCUGUUGCGAAGGCGUCUAACUGGAACGGUUCUGACGGUGAGGGACGAAAGUUAGGGGCGCGAACCGGAUUAGAUACCCGGGUAGUCCUAACUGUAAACGAUGCGGACUUGGUGUUGGGGUGGCUUUGAGCUGCUCCAGUGCCGAAGGGAAGCUGUUAAGUCCGCCGCCUGGGGAGUACGGUCGCAAGACUGAAACUUAAAGGAAGU